rnacentral:rRNA from 1 species
UACGUAGGGUGCGAGCGUUGUCCGGAAUUAUUGGGCGUAAAGGGCUCGUAGGCGGUUUGUCGCGUCGGGAGUGAAAACACUGGGCUUAACUCAGUGCUUGCUUCCGAUACGGGCAGACUAGAGGUAUUCAGGGGAGAACGGAAUUCCUGGUGUAGCGGUGAAAUGCGCAGAUAUCAGGAGGAACACCGGUGGCGAAGGCGGUUCUCUGGGAAUGUCCUGACGCUGAGGAGCGAAAGUGUGGGGAGCGAAC